rnacentral:tRNA from 1 species
GAACGUAUGCCUUAGUGGUCAUAGCCAGUGGAUGGUUUCCACGAGACGCGGGUUCAAAUCCCGCUAAGUAUU